rnacentral:misc_RNA from 1 species
AAUGCCAGUCCUCUCGAUCACUUCCGUGUCGUCAUUGUCGUGGUAACGCCGUAGCGAACGACAUUGACGCUGUCGCUCUUGCUGCCGUCGUCGAUGUUAAUGUCGUUGCGGUUGGCAUCGACCAGGCUGCGCAAUGCGAGCGACAAGGUGCCGGCUUGCCGCGCACGCGACAGCGAUUCCGCCUGAUCANNNNNNNNCGCGGUCUUGCCGACCACGACCUUCUGCCCGUCCUUUUCUCCGACCGUCUGGUCGAUGGCG